AUUGAACGCUGGCGGCAGGCCUAACACAUGCAAGUCGAGCGGAGCGGCGGACGGGUGAGUAAUGCCUAGGAAUCAGCCUGGUAGGGGGGGGUAACGUCCGGAAACGGGCGCUAAUACAGCAUACUAUCAGAUGAGCCUAGGUCGGAUUAGCUAGUUGGUGGGGUAAAGGCCUACCAAGGCGACGAUCCGUAACUGGUCUGAGAGGAUGAUCAGUCACCCUGGACCUGAGACACGGUCCAGACUCCUACGGUAGGCAGCAGUGGGGAAUAUUGGACAAUGGGCGAAAGCCUGAUCCAGCCAUGCCGCGUGUGUGAAGAAGGUCUUCGGAUUUUAAAGCACUUUAAGUUGGGAGGCGUUACCAACAGAGUAAGCACCGGCUAACUUCGUGCCAGCAGCCGCGGUAAUUC
rnacentral:rRNA from 1 species